rnacentral:rRNA from 1 species
CCUACGGGUGGCAGCAGUGAGGAAUAUUGGUCAAUGGACGCAAGUCUGAACCAGCCAAGCCGCGUGCAGGAAGACGGCUCUAUGAGUUGUAAACUGCUUUUGUACGAGGGUAAACGCAGACACGCGUAUCUGUUUGAAAGUAUUGUACGAAUAAGGAUCGGCUAACUCCGUGCCAGCAGCCGCGGUAAUACGGAGGAUUCAAGCGUUAUCCGGAUUUAUUGGGUUGAAAGGGGGCGUAGGCGGGUGGAUAAGUUAGUGGUGAAAGCGUGAGGCUCAACUGUGGAAUUGCCACUGAUACUGUCCGGCUAGAGAGUAGUUGCGGUAGGCGGAAUGUAUGGUGUAGCGGUGAAAUGCUUAGAGAUCAUACAGAACACCGAUUGCGAAGGCAGCUUACCAAGCUACUUCUGACGUUGAGGCACGAAAGCGUGGGGAGCAAACAGGAUUAGAUACCCCUGUAGUC